AUUGAACGCUGGCGGCAGGCCUAACACAUGCAAGUCGAGCGGGGUUUUCGGACCUAGCGGCGGACGGGUGAGUAAUGCGUAGGGAGCUACCCGAUAGAGGGGGAUACCAGUUGGAAACGACUGUUAAUACCGCAUAAUGUCUACGGACCAAAGUGUGGGACCUUCGGGCCACAUGCUAUCGGAUGUGCCUACGUGGGAUUAGCUAGUUGGUGAGGUAAUGGCUCACCAAGGCGACGAUCCCUAGCUGGUUUGAGAGGAUGAUCAGCCACACUGGAACUGAGACACGGUCCAGACUCCUACGGGAGGCAGCAGUGGGGAAUAUUGGACAAUGGGCGCAAGCCUGAUCCAGCCAUGCCGCGUGUGUGAAGAAGGCCUUCGGGUUGUAAAGCACUUUCAGUAAGGAGGAAGCGUUGAGUGUUAAUAGUACUCAGCGUUGACGUUACUUACAGAAGAAGCACCGGCUAACUCUGUGCCAGCCGCCGCGGUAAUAC
rnacentral:rRNA from 1 species